CCUGACUUCCAUGGAGGCUGGCCUUGGCCUCUCUGCAGGAUCUUAGGACGAGGGACGGGACAGGGAGAUAUGAUCACGUCUGCUGUAUGAGUGAGGAGACGGAGGCUCAGGAAAGCACUUUCCCAAAUGUCAUCUCAUGUGCUGCCCUCUGAGAACACAAGAGAAGCAGAUGUGCUCAAACCCAUUGUAAAGUAGAGGACACAGCCUCAGAGAGCUAGAAUUCAGACCCCCUAGCUCCAGAACCAGACGCCGAAGACCCCGUUUCACAGGAAAGGGACAAUGAGACGAUGUGAGAAUUGGACUACAAAGAAAGCUGAGCGCAGAAGAAUCGAAACUUUUGAACUGUGCUGUUGGAGAAGACUCUUGAGAGUCCCUUGGCCUGCAAGGAGAUCCAACCAGUCCAUUCUGAAGGAGAUCAGUCCUGGGUGUUCAUUGGAAGGACUGAUGCUGAAAGCUGAAACUCCAAUACUUUGCCACCUGAUGUGAAGAGCUGACUCAUUUGAAAAGAUCCUGAUGCUGGGAAAGAUUGAAGGAGGAGAAGGGAACGACAGAGGAUGAGAUGGUUGGAUGGCAUCACUGACUCAAUGGACAUGGGUUUCGGUGAACUCUGGGAGUUGGUGAUGGACAGGGAGGCCUGGCGUGCUGUGGUUCAUGGGGUCGCAAAGAGUUGGACACAACUGAGCGACUGAACUGAACUGCUCAAAUAGGGGAGAGAGAAGAAGCAACAGGUUCCCUUGUUUGCUCUGCUCCCCACUCCCCACUGAGCCUGUCCCUUACGUGGGUGAAGGUAGGGAUGUGUCCGGGGGUCAGGCCUGGGGGGUGACCUAGGUGGACUGCCACCUCUUAGGCGGUGGUCUGUCCGGGGAUGUUUGCAGUACCCUGCUUUUGCUCUCACGGAGAAGGCAAUGGCACCCCACUCUAGUACUCUUGCCUGGAAAAUUCCAUGGACGGGGAGCCUGGUAGGCUGCAAUCCAUGGGGUCGCUAAGAGUCAGACAUAACUGAGCGACUUCAUUUUCCCUUUUCGCUUUCAUGCAUUGGAGAAGGAAAUGGCAACCCACUCCAGUGUUCUUGCCUGGAGAAUCCCAGGGACGGGGGAUCCUGGUGCGCUGCUGUCUAUGGGGUCGCACAGAGUCGGACACGACUGAAGUGACUUAGCAGCAGCAGCAGCUUUUGCUCUCAACACCCUGUUUUUGCUCCAGGAUCCUCAAAAGUGGCAGUUGGGUGUUUUGAUCUCUUGGUAUCUUUUGGGUCAGAAUUUGCCCCAACCGUGGCAUGCGUGGGGUUAUUUUUAGUCCCAUACGGUUUCUUUGUAUUUUGUUGCUCAGGGAGAGGUGUGUCCAGGUGCAAGCAUGUAGCUCCGCUGCAAAGGGUCCCAGGUCCCAGCCUGUCUCACCCCCACCCUCUAAACUGAAGGCUUGGCACAGAGGCACAUGUUGAAGCAAGUCUCCGCAGCUCUCUCCCUGCCCUCCAGACACACCCAGGAUGAACCCGGUCCAACACUGCCCUCUGCCCUCCUCCACCUGCUCUGCAAGCGCAGGCCCGCAAGAGUGGACCUCAAUCCAGUGGGCACGCAGAGCCAGGCUGGGGCACCCCCAGCGGAGGCAGGCACCCAGCCUCACCUGCUGCCUGGUCUAGAAAAAGUCCCAGUGUUCUGAGGAAGGGUUUCGCUUCCCACUGCACUCUCCCGUCCACUCAGCCCCGGGAUCCUGCAUUUCAGUGUUGGUCUGGACUCCAUACCUUCCCCUCCCCCAAGAGAAACACUCGGUGCGCUCUGUCAUAUUUAUCCUUGUUAUGAAAUGAUUGUUGUAAGAAAAAAUGGACAGUCACAGAAAUAGAAAUCACACCUUCUCCUGUUAUACAGAAACAAUUCUGCUAAUAUUUUUAUUUUUUUUCUUGGAAAUCACACCCCUGUGUUCCAUUUUAUUUUUUAACAACCCAUUUGCACAUGCUGUUUUGUAACCUGCCUCCCCACCACCCCCCACCGCCCACUCAGCUAUGUAUCUUAAACAUCUUUCCAGGUCAUUAAAUAUUCUUCUACCAAGAAAUGUCAAUGGCCACCCAGUGUUCUAUAAAUAAACCAUUAUUUAUUUAGCCAGUCUAUUGAUUGCUGGACAUUCUGUACCUCAUUCUUGCCCUUGUCUGAAUGCUGGCUCUACUACUUAAUGGCUGUGUGAUAUCGGGAAAAUCACCUCCUCUUUCUGAGACUCGGCUUGUUGGGCUAUCUGUCCCCUGAACUGUCUAGUACCCCGGUGCCCUGGGGUUUUGCUUUGCAGAGCCCAGGUUGACAUUGACAUGGCGCUUGGCAUGAUGCCUGAGACGCGUG
ensembl:lncRNA